UACGUAGGGUGCAAGCGUUAAUCGGAAUUACUGGGCGUAAAGCGUGCGCAGGCGGUUUUGUAAGUCUGACGUGAAAUCCCCGGGCUUAACCUGGGAAUUGCGUUGGAGACUGCAAGGCUGGAGUCUGGCAGAGGGGGGUAGAAUUCCACGUGUAGCAGUGAAAUGCGUAGAGAGUGUGGAGGAACACCGAUGGCGAAGGCAGCCCCCUGGGUCAAGACUGACGCUCAUGC
rnacentral:rRNA from 1 species